rnacentral:rRNA from 1 species
AUUGAACGCUGGCGGCAGGCCUAACACAUGCAAGUCGAACGAGUGGCGGACGGGUGAGUAAUGUCUGGGAAACUGCCUGAUGGAGGGGGAUAACUACUGGAAACGGUAGCUAAUACCGCAUACCAUCGGAUGUGCCCAGAUGGGAUUAGCUAGUAGGUGGGGUAAAGGCUCACCUAGGCGACGAUCCCUAGCUGGUCUGAGAGGAUGACAAGCAAAACUGGAACUGAGAAACGGUCCAGACUCCUACGGGAGGCAGCAGUGGGGAAUAUUGCACAAUGGGCGCAAGCCUGAUGCAGCCAGGCCGCGUGUAGGAAGAAGGCCUUCGGGUGGUAAAGUACUUUAAGCGGGGAGGCGUUACCCGAAGAAGAAGCACCGGCUAACUCCGUGCCAGCAGCCGCGGUAAAC